rnacentral:rRNA from 1 species
AAGCAAAUAAGGGCGUACGGGGGAUGCCUAGGCUCUCAGAGACGACGAAGGACGUGAUAAGCUGCGAAAAGCCAUGGGGAGGUGCAAAUAACCAUUGAUCCAUGGAUGUCCGAAUGGGGAAACCCGGCCACUUGAAGAGUGGUCGUCGAAAGACGGUAACCCAGGGAACUGAAACAUCUAAGUACCUGGAGGAGAAGAAAACAAUUAGUGAUUCCGCAAGUAGUGGCGAGCGAACGCGGAUUAGCCCAAACCAGUGUUGUUACGGCAAUACUGGGGUUGUAGGACCACGAUAUUCGAAAUGUAAUGAACUAGAACGCUUUGGAAAUAGCGACCAUAGAGGGUGAUAGUCCCGUAUAGGUAAAGAGCAUUUAGAUAGUGGUAUCCUGAGUAGUGCGGGGCACGUGAAACCCUGUAUGAAUCUGCCGGGACCAUCCGGUAAGGCUAAAUACUCCUGAGAGACCGAUAGUGAACAAGUACCGUGAGGGAAAGGUGAAAAGCACCCCGAUGAGGG